rnacentral:lncRNA from 10 species
UUUUCAUUCUACAUCCAAAUUAUUUUUGUUAGUUUCUUACAGAAACUAUAGGCAUUGUUUUUACUUAGACAUAAGUAUUUCAUAAGUCUACAAUCAACUUGUCUGACAGAAAAUUAAGAAUAUAUUAAUUUUCUGAAUAAUUUUGAUCAACAGCUGCACUGUCAAUUUAAAGACCGGGAGUUCUUCCAAGGACCACAAGGACAAACAAUGCUUCAAAUCCAACUUCCUGGCUUUAUUAUUGAUGAGAGAGAGGGAGAUCCUAACUUGGUUGCAUGUAUUUCAACCUUACCGGAAAAGAGGCAGGAAAAUAAAAUGUGGAUCUCGUAUUUGUGAAACAAAUACAAGAAACAAAUGAAAAGGCAUUAUCAUGUCCGGUUAACUAUGGGAAAACAAAGCUGUUUAUGUCUCAGUUCUAUAGUUGUGUUAAAGGAUCUCAAAAGAUAGAAACUGCAUGAUGUUGAACAGACAACUAGAAGAAACAACAGGUUUCAGAGAAUUAUGGCAUUGCUUCUCAGUCUUCAGUUACUACUUCAAAGCAUUGCUUUACUUUUUCUCUGAAUAUUAUGGUAAUAACCUUCAUUCUUCUUACAACUCGGAGAAAUUAUCCAAUGCAAUUUUGUUUUAUAGUUUCUGCCAUUCCCUCCUUCUGUCUCCCGUUACAGCAAUGAAUACUAGUUUUCAGGUGCAGGUAUUAAGAGGGCAAUGGGGGGGAUAUAAAAUGCACAGAGGAGGAUUUGCUUUCUCAUAUAUGGGUUCUGUAACUUGUAAGUGAGUAGAUAUUGGAGGAUGGGUGCACAGUGAAACUUUCAUGGACUUCUUGUUAGUAGUAACAAGAACACCUUCAAAUAUUCAUCCUACUUUGCAGUGGCAAUAUGUGUAUCAGUCCAUAGUGAUAUUUUUCUAAAAUACAGUUUCCAGAGGGCACAGUUGAGCCACUUAGUUUGCAUUUCCCAGUGUAGACUGCUCUCUGACUUCCUGAGGGUGGCAUCUUCUGGCCCUGUCUCCUUUCUACAGAAGUGAUGGUAUGUGGGCUCUCACCUAGUUUCAAACUGGACUACUUUUUCAUGACGGUGAUGAAGCCAUUUAGAGGGACUUCCAAAAGUCCCAUGGCUGUACUCACCCCAUUCCCAGACCUUCAUCACCAAAAUGUUUUUCCUUUGAGGAAAAUCAUGUUGAAAAGAAUUCUCAUAAUACUAACUAGUAUUUAUUGAACACUUAUUAAGUGUUGCACGCUAUGUGAAAUGGUUUAUAUGAGCAAGAUAUCACAAUAUUUCAGCCAAAGCAAAUGAAACUUAGAUUAAAUAAUUUGCACAAAUUUAAGUAGCUAGUAAAUGUCAGAGCUGGGCUUCAAAAUAAAGUCUGUCUUAAUACAAACCCUUCACCACUAUAGUACCCUGCCUACCAGGUAGCAUUAAGACACCAGAGAUGGUUUGGAUGCAGAAAUAAAAUGGUUAUUCCAAUAUCUACUUCAAAUGUGGAGGGCUUGGGAUUUUUCUGCUUAUGCACAUGCAAAGACCCAAAGAAAAAUGCUGUCACACUCUGAUUUAAAAAAAAAUAUGCAACAGAAAGGAAAAUACAUUAUAAUCAUGCAACUAAACCAGCAGCCACUGAGGCAAGUUUUAAGAUUAGAACAGCCCCAGAUUUUUGGAGUACAUGAAUAGAAUUUUUAAAAUAUUUUAUCUGGUUUGCUCAUCCCUGAUCCCCAUUCCCUACUUCACCACCAAUGAAAUAUUUUUUCCACUUGAAAGAUUAGGUAACUGGUAUGUUUGAGUAAUCCCACAUGCUUAAUAAAUGAUUACAUAACAGUUUAUUUGGCAUUACCUCAGAGUUUUCUUUGUGAAUUUAGAGUAAUCUCUGCCAAUGUGUCUUCUUAAGUAUUUCAUAUUUAUUUUAUACUUUUGAAUGAACCCAAUGGUGAUUUUUA